UGAAGCUCCAUGAGACCUCUCCUCGUCUAUGCACAGACUGGCGGCUGACUCUGGAGCCCAGACUGUUGCUUCCUGGUCUAGUGAUCCUUCCUCCAUAGUCUGAAGCAGUGGGAGUCCCAGAACUGAUGACUCUCUAGAAGAUGGAGAAGCCAGGAGGAAUUCAGAGAGAAACAGGAAGGGGAGAGAAAAAAGGAGAGAAGUGGACUUGGCGAGAGAAGGAGACAGAGAGCGAGACAGAGAGGCAGAGACAUCAUGCCUUUUUCCUUGAAGGUCAUCUUUACUAGGCCUCCGAGGACAAAAAUACCAUACUGCCUCAUCUGAGGGCAGAUGAAGUCAGUGGCCAGGCCUUUGUGGCACGAAGCUGGCAGUCUAGGACCUGAGGGCAAGCCUCCAGUCAAAGCCAGCAAACAGGGGGACCCUCCCCAACCCCACCCUUGGUACAGUUGCAAGGAAGUGAAUGCUGCCAACAGCCUGAGUGAAUCUGGGAGUGGAUUCUUCCCCAGCCCUGGAACCUUUUCCUUAAACAAAAAUCUCACAAGAAAACUCAGUCUGCAAGAACAAAAGUGGAGCUGCUCUGAAGGAGUGCAAGGAGGGCUGGUUGGGACAGGAAGUCCCGCCCUCUCAACCCCAGUGCAGCUCUCAAUCAAUGAGAGCACGAAGAAUGUUCCCAAUCCACAGGCAGAGACCCUUCCACAGCUGGGAUCUUCUCCACCUGGAGGACUACGUUCCCCACCCCACCUUGCAAGUGGCUUGACAUGAAUUUGUUAUCUGUGAGACAAAUGUUCUUGGCCUGCCAAGGAGAGCUUUAAAUAGACUCUGAGUUAAAAGGAAGCUUAUCCAUUAUUUAGUCCAGCUCUUAGCUCGGGCAAGAAUUCCUUACACAUCCCCACCAAGAGGCAAUCUAGAUUCUCUCUGAAUACUCCCCACAAUGGGUGGCUCACUAUCUCACAAAGCAGGUGUCUCACUGUUAGGCAGCUCCUAUUAAAACACAAACCUGCCACCUUAUAGCCCUCAUCCACUGGCUCUGCCUCUGGAGCUCAAAGAAUAAGUCAUGAAGUCGUGGAACUUAUACUAAAAGGAAUGCAGCUCACCCCAGGCUAGUCUUCUCCCCUCCUGUUCCAUUCUCCUUAGAGGGCACUUGUGUAGAUUAUUAUAUUGGUGGUCAAGGAAACAUGUCACUUAGUAUUUGUGGACUGUGUAUUCCCCUUUCUCAUUGACUCUUGGAUUAUCCUCAUGACUUGCUUUGGCCAAUGGGAUAUUAGCAGGCAUAAAGCCUUGGAAGCACUUGCAAAUUUGGGCUUGCCCCCUUAGAAAGUUCCUCCUUGGAAGCCAGCUGCCAUGCUGAAGGAAGCUCAAGUUUGGCUACUGAAUGGUGCAAGGCCAUGUGGAGAGAGGCCCUGGAGAAGGGUAGUCCAUUUUUUUCCUUUUUUUUUUAUGCUUAAUGUUUGUGGGUACAUAGUAGGUGUGUAUAUCUAUGGGGUACAGGAGAUGUUUUGAUACAGGCAUGCAAUGUGGAAUAAUCACAUCAUGGAAAAUGGGGUAUGAGGAGAGGCCAUUUUGGAUGUUCCAAUCACAAGCAAGCUCCCAGCUGAAGGCAACCACAGGAGUGACCUAAGCAAUACACAAGGAACAGAAGAGCUGCCCUGCUAAGCUCAGCCAAACCACAGGAUCUUGUGAAAUAAUAAAUUGUUGUUUUAAGCAACUAAAUUUUGGAAUGGGUUGGUAAACAGUGAUAGAGAAUUGAAAACUACUGACAGAGUUCUUCUAGGAGCACAUUUCUAGGAUAAUAUGGCCAAAAUUUUUCAUCUCAGAUCAGCCAUUUACAAAGAGUAUAGACAACCUGCCUAAGCCAAGAGAUAGCAAACAUCUUUACUGGAGAUACUGGGAGCUCGGCCACUUAGAAUUAAAUCAGAAGGAGUCAGUCAGAGAUGGGAAGGAGUUAGGAGCCUUUGGCUUGAGCAAGUCAGAGAGCCCUGUCUGAAUGACAAAUUAUAUGGAACAGCUUGGCUUUCCUCACAAAAUAAAAUUAUUGCUUCAGUUCAAAUUCCUUGCCACUUAUAAAUUACUUUUAAUUUUAUUGCCCUACAGACCAUGUCCAGAUAGGUUUGGAUGCUAUGCUGUUUUUUAUAUGCCAUUCUCCAAAGCGGUGAAGGUACAAAUCAUGGGCCAUCCCAAGUGGUUUGGGGAAGAGAUGUUUUUUCUUUCAAAAACAAGGUUUAGGUGCAUAUUUGUGGUAAUGACAUAGAAAUGAAAACACAGCAAGAUCAAUUGGAGUUUAUAAUAGCAUUCUGAACAGGGAGAAAUAGGGUGAAAUGCUCCUGGAUGAGGCUGUCCCAGCCUUCUCCCAGCAUUCACUCCAUAAGCCUUUAUUGAGCACCUACAGUCCCUGCCUUCCAGGCACUCAUGUUCAAGGGAGGAGACUGACAGGUGGAGCAGCAGGUGCAAUACAGUGUGAUAACGAGGAAGUCUGGGACAACGGAAGUACCUACAAGAGGCCUGUCUCCUAAAAGAAGCUCUAUCUAGGCUGAGAGCAAAAGGGUCAAUGGAGCAAGUUGAACAAAGAGAAGGGACAUUCAUUGAUUGCAGAGAUUACUAGCUCCUACCCAAUAUCUAUCUAUCUCUUUUUCCUGAUGAUUAGAACAUCAUUUUAUCCUGCUAGGCAAUAUUUCUAGCUAAAGGACUACAUUUCCCAGACUUCCUUGUAGCUAGCAAUGAAUAAUGGGAUAAAAAUACAAGUUUAUAGGGUUUCUUGGAAGGAGUUCUGACUCAACUAGGAGAUACAACCAAGUUCCUCCAUCUUUCUGCCUGGAAUGUGGACUUGAUGGCUGGAGUGCCAGCAGCUAUUUUGUGUCAUAAAGCAAACUUGAGAUGGAAACCAACUACUAAGUAUGGUAGAGCAGAAAGUUAAGAAGAGCUUGCGUCCUGACAACUGUGAAGCUGCUAUAUCAGCCCUGGAGAGCCACCCUUCUGGCUUCUUUCACAUGCCAAAUAAAUAAAUGUCAGAUUUAAACUA